GAAUGGCAAACAGAAAUGCAUUACUGAGGAAAAGGGCUACCCCUCAUAUCUCACAGGGGCCAGCUCACCAGCAGAUGUGUUUUCAACCUGCCAACAACAAAUGCCAGGCAGACAACAUCUUGACAAGUUGAAAGCUCUGGUGUUCGUGACAGGUUCUUCUAGGACAAAUUCAUUUUGAAGAGUGGGGAGGCUGGGAAGAUUAACCCUGUCUUUAAUUUUCUGUCAGCUGCAGAAUCCCAUUGCAAAGAUGUGGUAACAGAUUGAACAAUUUGCUCAUCCAGACAUCUCCCAAUGGCCAGGAUUUCCACAAAGUGAGAACUACAAAUCUCUCUGAGCAACUGCGGCUGACCCUGUCUCUGUUAUGGGAAAAAGUAAUCAGUAGCCAAACACCUCCAGAGCUCCGUGAGCUGGGAGAAGGCUUUAUUGGAUCAAAACCCCUCUUUCAUGAGCUCAUACUCUGGAGGGCACUUGCAGUUUCGUAUGCAGAGUGUCAGAGUCGUAACCAACAUGUCUGCACCCUAGGCUGACCUCUGUAAAGCAGAGAUUUAAAAAAUGGAAAUGAAAGUGAGCACACUGUUGUGAAUGUGAUGUGCCCACUUCGCUCUUAAUCCGCUGCAGUUGUUAGUGAGACUUCGCUGCUGCAAGCUGCAGGUUGCUCACCAUCACCUGGGGACAGCUUAGCCAUUUACUGUCCUAAUGGGGCUUGAAUGCAGGGUUCAGUCUGCUGAAGUUAAAGCUUGCUAGCACCGAGGACUUUCCCUUCCUCCUUCCAAACAUAAGAUCGCUGCUUAAAAACACUUUGUGGGAAAUUCUUCCUCCCUCUUCAUGCAAUCCUACCAAGAGCACCCUGGCCUGAGCCUACCAUCAAGUUAAUAUAUGGGAGAUGUGAUGUCAUCUACAUAAUUUGUGUGCUGCAAGAAGUCAUUUUCCCAGGAGUGUUCGAGGCAGUUGUAGCUUUAAGGCCUGUGCUUCCUAAUUUAAAGAUAAAGUCAGUUGCUGGCAAUUUGUGCCUUAAAGCAAAUACUUCAAAGGACAGAGAGAAACCUUUAGUGUCCUAAGUCUCUCGGGACUCAUCCCCUUGUAUAAUACCAUGUGUUUAUUCUUGAAAUAUGUUUUACUUUAUAUGUAUAAAUAUAUAUAAGUUUGUACAUAUGUAUUUGCAGAAAAGGAUGCUGAAAGGAUUAAGGUCUGUGGACUUCAGAUAAUGAAACACUAAAAAGACCGUAACACCUAGAAUUCACGGGAUUCUGCCUCAAAGUCAAAAACCCAUAAAAGAAAACAAACCAACAAUGCUGCAGAUUUCUCUUAGUCUUGGCUCAAAAACUAGCUCUGGAGUUUUUCAAAGGCUUCUAUUCAUAGAAAAAAGUUUAUGUAACUUUUUCUUCUUCCAGCAAGUUUUCAUUUCAUAACAGUUUUAUCUCAAGAGGUAAAUGUUAAGAGGCCCUCCGCCGCCCUCAUCCUCUGGGAGAAGCUAUCACUGCAAUGUGAACUCCCAGCCUCGUAUCGUGCCCAAACACCAGGCGUCUUGAAA
rnacentral:lncRNA from 1 species